AUGUCGUGGUGGUACAGUAAUGGUGGGAUGAUAAAACGUACAGUCAGGUCGUGUACACUGAGUGUUAAAUCUACAGUGUUUUGGAUGAUAAAAGGGACAUUGCAUUUUCUUAAAAGCUGGGAAGUAACGGCAGAGCUGACUACUGGAAGGUGGUGCUGGUGUUCUAACUGGUUUUGGAGGCAGUCCUGGGGUUAUUUGGUUCAUGUGAGUGAAGGGACAGUCUGGUUUAGUACAUUUUGCAUCAUAUUUACAAUUUGGAUGAACAGACACUUCUCAGCAAAUUUACAACUGGGAAAGGCUUUGCAAGGUGACCCAGUGAUGGUAAGCACACUCGUCCCCGUUUUUGCAGGCCUGCCAGUACUUGCAGUGCUCCAACAGCUUUUCUGGUUUCUGUGCCAGGCUCAGUCUACUCAUCUCAUCUGGGUCCUCAAGCUGCCUGCUCAGGAAGUGUAGCUGCUGUGGGUGGAGGAGACCUGCGAGUCCCUCAUAUGAAGCAGCAGGGUGGUGUGUGGGUCUCAUUCCUUAAAAGCACAUGUCCUCCUCUUGAUCUGACAUGUAUCCUGUGGAGGGGGCGGGCAUUGCUGGGGACACCAUCCAGCAUCACUAUAAACUCGAGACUUGCAGGUUUAUCUGGUUGUACAAGAUCUCAUGUUUGCAUAAGGUGUCCAUACCUAAAGGGUAUCUGCAGUCUUCAUCUCCAACUCCUGAUUUGGUGCCACUACUAGUUCCUCAGAUAGCUUUGGCUUCUUCAGAAUAAAUGAUCUUGUGUCUGCAUGGACCAUGGAUUCCAUGUCAUAGUAAUCUUGACUGAUCUGCAGAGUCUCUGCCAUCAUGGGUGUAAGGCUCGGAGGGCCGCACUCUGAAAGGAACACUCAGGGACAGCCUCUAGUGGACUGACAAAUUUUNNNNNNNNNNNNNNNNNNNNNNNNNNNNNNNNNNNNNNNNNNNNNNNNNNNNNNNNNNNNNNNNNNNNNNNNNNNNNNNNNNNNNNNNNNNNNNNNNNNCUGAAAGGAACACUCAGGGACAGCCUCUAGUGGACUGACAAAUUUUAUUACCCAGCUUUCGCAGAUAUAUGAUCUCAGGGUGCAGAGCAUAAAGCAGACUUGUAUGUAGUCUUUCUCGAUAAUCGGGAUAACAACUGCCUCUGUUGAGUUCCUUGACUUUUGUCUAUAUUACCUCCUUUUGCUUCCUCUUCUUUAAUGGGAGAACUUAUUCUGGGGACUCUGCCUUGUCCCUGGACCAUUUCUGCUAGCAAUUCUUCUUGAGUUCAAGUUCUGGGAGCAACUGCAAGUGUCUGUUUCUGUGAGACUGUAGAAUAGUUGUUUUUGUUACAGAUUCUUGAGCUUCGGAUAUAGCCUUCAAAAUUAGAUUCUUGUUAGCUUGUUUAGAAGGUGGAAGUGAAGGUCUCCGUUCAGGUUUUGCUGGCACUGACACUCUGCUGCAGAUGCUUCCAGUAGGGGACCCACAAUCCUCAUCUUCCUCCUCUUCUCCAUCGUGACUGAUUUUUUUUUUUUUUUUUUUACUUUAACAACUGACCUUACCACAGGCAAUGUUCUCUUCUGAAAGUUUUCUUUUUCAAAUACUCACCUUUUUUGAGUUGUUCCUGAGGGAGGGACUGUAAGUCUCUCCUAAGCUGUUAAGCACUUCUGGCUCACACAAACGUCCUGUUUCGUACACCUGGCUACUCUGAAUAUCAAGCUGCUUGGCAGCAUGGAUACUGGUUUGCUGCUGUUGAAAUUGCAACCUGUUUAAAUGAGCACCACUGUCUGCAUUCGACUUGCAGGUGGUCGAUAAAUUUCAAUAGAAGGGCAAGAAGAACCAUAUAUAAGUGUCACUGUAGUUUUUUUUUUUUUCUGAGAGAAGAGUUUCUCCUGCACAAAAUUGAGUUCUUCGUCAAUGAGAUCAUCUGGUCCUGGCUUAAAAUCAAUCACAUCUUCAGAGGGUGCUAGCUCCCUCCAAGGUUUCACUGUUGACAUUGGUCAGGUUGCAGCUCCGUUAUCAUAAAUCUCUGACAUUCGUGGCUUUCUGCUCCUGUGAACUUGUAGAAACUCUAGAUUCUCUUUUUUCAGGUCUAGUGCUAGAAACUGCAAGAGGCUGCUAGAAAGAGCUAGAAAGGCUGCUAGAAACAGCUUCGUGCCUUCUCUCAUCUCGAUUGAAACUGCUCUUGUUUGAAGGUACGUUACCAUCAAAGAGGUUGGUAUCAGAAGACUACAGACUAGAGGGGUUGGUUGUUACAGAACUAAGUUUAUCUAAUACCCCAUGAAGCCAUACGGUGAAUCAAAUUGUGUUGUUCCCUUGAAGCAGGGACAGGUCCUCUGUCAUUUGGUCCUGACUUUUCUUGUUGGCCACCAUCACCAUAAUGUAAUCAGGAAGUUCUUCAUC
rnacentral:lncRNA from 1 species